rnacentral:rRNA from 1 species
AGACCCGAAACCCGGUGAUCUAGCCAUGGGCAGGUUGAAGGUUGGGUAACACUAACUGGAGGACCGAACCGACUAAUGUUGAAAAAUUAGCGGAUGACUUGUGGCUGGGGGUGAAAGGCCAAUCAAACCGGGAGAUAGCUGGUUCUCCCCGAAAGCUAUUUAGGUAGCGCCUCGUGAAUUCAUCUCCGGGGGUAGAGCACUGUUUCGGCAAGGGGGUCAUCCCGACUUACCAACCCGAUGCAAACUGCGAAUACCGGAGAAUGUUAUCACGGGAGACACACGGCGGGUGCUAACGUCCGUCGUGAAGAGGGAAACAACCCAGACCGCCAGCUAAGGUCCCAAAGUCAUGGUUAAGUGGGAAACGAUGUGGGAAGGCCCAGACAGCCAGGAUGUUGGCUUAGAAGCAGCCAUCAUUUAAAGAAAGCGUAAUAGCUCACUGGUCGAGUCGGCCUGCGCGGAAGAUGUAACGGGGCUAAACCAUGCACCGAAGCUGCGGCAGCGACACUGUGUGUUGUUGGGUAGGGGAGCGUUCUGUAAGCCUGUGAAGGUGUGCUGUGAGGCAUGCUGGAGGUAUCAGAAGUGCGAAUGCUGACAUAAGUAACGAUAAAGCGGGUGAAAAGCCCGCUCGCCGGAAGACCAAGGGUUCCUGUCCAACGUUAAUCGGGGCAGGGUGAGUCGACCCCUAAGGCGAGGCCGAAAGGCGUAGUCGAUGGGAAACAGGUUAAUAUUCCUGUACUUGGUGUUACUGCGAAGGGGGGACGGAGAAGGCUAUGUUGGCCGGGCGACGGUUGUCCCGGUUUAAGCGUGUAGGCUGGUUUUCCAGGCAAAUCCGGAAAAUCAAGGCUGAGGCGUGAUGACGAGGCACUACGGUGCUGAAGCAACAAAUGCCCUGCUUCCAGGAAAAGCCUCUAAGCAUCAGGUAACAUCAAAUCGUACCCCAAACCGACACAGGUGGUCAGGUAGAGAAUACCAAGGCGCUUGAGAGAACUCGGGUGAAGGAACUAGGCAAAAUGGUGCCGUAACUUCGGGAGAAGGCACGCUGAUAUGUAGGUGAAGUCCCUCGCGGAUGGAGCUGAAAUCAGUCGAAGAUACCAGCUGGCUGCAACUGUUUAUUAAAAACACAGCACUGUGCAAACACGAAAGUGGACGUAUACGGUGUGACGCCUGCCCGGUGCCGGAAGGUUAAUUGAUGGGGUCAGCGCAAGCGAAGCUCUUGAUCGAAGCCCCGGUAAACGGCGGCCGUAACUAUAACGGUCCUAAGGUAGCGAAAUUCCUUGUCGGGUAAGUUCCGACCUGCACGAAUGGCGUAAUGAUGGCCAGGCUGUCUCCACCCGAGACUCAGUGAAAUUGAACUCGCUGUGAAGAUGCAGUGUACCCGCGGCAAGACGGAAAGACCCCGUGAACCUUUACUAUAGCUUGACACUGAACAUUGAGCCUUGAUGUGUAGGAUAGGUGGGAGGCUUUGAAGUGUGGACGCCAGUCUGCAUGGAGCCGACCUUGAAAUACCACCCUUUAAUGUUUGAUGUUCUAACGUGGACCCGUGAUCCGGGUUGCGGACAGUGUCUGGUGGGUAGUUUGACUGGGGCGGUCUCCUCCUAAAGAGUAACGGAGGAGCACGAAGGUUGGCUAAUCCUGGUCGGACAUCAGGAGGUUAGUGCAAUGGCAUAAGCCAGCUUGACUGCGAGCGUGACGGCGCGAGCAGGUGCGAAAGCAGGUCAUAGUGAUCCGGUGGUUCUGAAUGGAAGGGCCAUCGCUCAACGGAUAAAAGGUACUCCGGGGAUAACAGGCUGAUACCGCCCAAGAGUUCAUAUCGACGGCGGUGUUUGGCACCUCGAUGUCGGCUCAUCACAUCCUGGGGCUGAAGUAGGUCCCAAGGGUAUGGCUGUUCGCCAUUUAAAGUGGUACGCGAGCUGGGUUUAGAACGUCGUGAGACAGUUCGGUCCCUAUCUGCCGUGGGCGCUGGAGAACUGAGGGGGGCUGCUCCUAGUACGAGAGGACCGGAGUGGACGCAUCACUGGUGUUCGGGUUGUCAUGCCAAUGGCACUGCCCGGUAGCUAAAUGCGGAAGAGAUAAGUGCUGAAAGCAUCUAAGCACGAAACUUGCCCCGAGAUGAGUUCUCCCUGACCCUUUAAGGGUCCUGAAGGAACGUUGAAGACG